UGAAUGUCCUAGGGGGUAUUGCACUUACCGAAGACUAUCAAACUCCGAAUGCCGUUUUCUUUUACUUGGGAGUCAGACUGUGGGUGAUAAGAUUCAUAGUCAAAAGGGCAACAGCCCAGAUCGUCAGCUAAGGUCCCUAAAUGUACGUUAAGUGGUAAAGGAUGUGGGAUUGCACAGACAACCAGGAUGUUGGCUUAGAAGCAGCCACUCAUUUAAAGAGUGCGUAAUAGCUCACUGGUCGAGUGAUCCUGCGCCGAAAAUUUCCGGGGCUAAAACGUACUACCGAAGCUACGGCAUCAUUUAUGAUGGGUAGGGGAGCUUCGUAUGCAGGCUGAAGCAUGACCGUAAGGACAUGUGGACAGUAUACGAGUGAGAAUGUUGGCAUGAGUAGCGAGACGUGGGUGAGAAUCCCACGGGCCGUAAACCCAAGGUUUCCAGGGGAAGGUUCGUCCGCCCUGGGUUAGUCGGGACCUAAGCCGAGGCCGAAAGGCGUAGGUGAUGGACAACAGGUUGAUAUUCCUGUACCGCCAAUAAGCGUUUGAGAGAUGGAGUGACACAGUAGGAUAAGCUAACCGUACUGUUGGUUAUGUACGGCUAAGCAUUGAGGCAGUCUAAAUAGGCAAAUCCGUUUAGACAAUGCUAGGAUGUGAUGGGGAAGCCCUUCGGGGCGAAGUAGCUGAUUUCACACUGUCAAGAAAAGCUUCUAUCGAGUUUAAAGGCGCCCGUACCGUAAACCGACACAGGUGGGUGAGGAGAGUAUCCUAAGGCCAGCGAGAGAACUAUUGUUAAGGAACUCGGCAAAAUGACCCCGUAACUUAGGGAGAAGGGGUGCCUGUCUAUGACAGGCCGCAGAGAAUAGGCCCAAGCGACUGUUUACCAAAAACACAGGUUUCUGCUAAGUCGCAAGACGAUGUAUAGGAGCUGACGCCUGCCCGGUGCUGGAAGGUUAAGGGGAUCUGUUAGAGCAAUCGAAGCAGUGAACUUAAGCCCCAGUAAACGGCGGCCGUAACUAUAACGGUCCUAAGGUAGCGAAAUUCCUUGUCGGGUAAGUUCCGACCCGCACGAAAGGCGUAACGAUUUGGGCACUGUCUCAACAAUAGACUCGGUGAAAUUGUAAUCCCGGUGAAGAUGCCGGGUACCUGCGACAGGACGGAAAGACCCCAUGGAGCUUUACUGUAGCUUGACGUUGGGUCUUGGUACUACAUGUACAGGAUAGGUGGGAGACUAUGAAGCAUGGACGCCAGUCUGUGUGGAGUCAUCCUUGGGAUACCACCCUUGUAGUACUGGGAUCCUAACCAUAGGCCUUGAAUCAGGUCUUGGAACACCGUCAGGUGGGCAGUUUGACUGGGGCGGUCGCCUCCUAAAAAGUAACGGAGGCGCUCAAAGGUUUCCUCAGCACGGUCGGAAAUCGUGCGAAGAGUGUAAAGGCAAAAGGAAGCUUGAUUGCAAGACAUACAGGUCGAGCAAGGACGAAAGUCGGACUUAGUGAUCCGGUGGUACCGCAUGGAAGGGCCAUCGCUCAACGGAUAAAAGCUACCCUGGGGAUAACAGGCUGAUCUCCCCCAAGAGUCCACAUCGACGGGGAGGUUUGGCACCUCGAUGUCGGCUCAUCACAUCCUGGGGCUGUAUUCGGUCCCAAGGGUUCGGCUGUUCGCCGAUUAAAGUGGUACGCGAGCUGGGUUCAGAACGUCGUGAGACAGUUCGGUCCCUAUCCGUCGCAGGCGUAGGAAAUUUGAGAAGACCUGUCCUUAGUACGAGAGGACCGGGAUGGACGUACCUCUGGUGUACCAGUUGUUCUGCCAAGGGCAUGGCUGGGUAGCUAUGUACGGAAUGGAUAAGCGCUGAAAGCAUCUAAGCGCGAAGCCAACUUCAAGAUAAGAUUUCCCACCGUAAGGGUAAGACCCCAGGAAGACUACCUGGUUGAUAGGUCGAAGGUGUAAGUGCAGUAAUGUAUUUAGCUUAUCGAUACUAAUAGGUCGAGGACUUGACCAA
rnacentral:rRNA from 1 species